rnacentral:rRNA from 1 species
GACGAACGCUGGCGGCGUGCCUAACACAUGCAAGUCGAGGGGUGAUUUCGGUCAUCACUGGCGCACGGGUGAGUAACGCGUAGAUCAUCUGCCCCUAUCACUGACAUAACAGUUCUAACGGACUGCUAAUAUCAGAUGAGGUGAGCAAUCAUCAAAGUUUACGACGGAUAGGGAUGAGUCUGCGUCUGAUUAGGUAGUUGGUGAGGUAACGGCUCACCAAGCCGACGAUCAGUAACUGGUCUGAGAGGACGAACAGUCACACUGGAACUGAGACACGGUCCAGACUCCUACGGGAGGCAGCAGUGAGGAAUAUUGCACAAUGGGAGGAAUCCUGAUGCAGCGACGCCGCGUGCGGGAUGAAGGGGGCUUAGCCUCGUAAACCGCUGUCGGAGGGGGCGGAAUGGUACAUUUGAUGUACUGAGACGGUACCCUCAAGGAAGGAUCGGCUAACUACGUGCCAGCAGCCGCGGUAAU